CGAGACUUUCAGAGAUGGAUUGGUGCCUUCGGGAACUCUGAGACAGGUGCUGCAUGGCUGUCGUCAGCUCGUGUUGUGAAAUGUUGGGUUAAGUCCCGCAACGAGCGCAACCCUUAUCCUUUGUUGCCAGCGGUCCGGCCGGGAACUCAAAGGAGACUGCCAGUGAUAAACUGGAGGAAGGUGGGGAUGACGUCAAGUCAUCAUGGCCCUUACGAGUAGGGCUACACACGUGCUACAAUGGCGCAUACAAAGAGAAGCGACCUCGCGAGAGCAAGCGGACCUCAUAAAGUGCGUCGUAGUCCGGAUUGGAGUCUGCAACUCGACUCCAUGAAGUCGGAAUCGCUAGUAAUCGUAGAUCAGAAUGCUACGGUGAAUACGUUCCCGGGUCUUGUACACACCGA
rnacentral:rRNA from 1 species